rnacentral:rRNA from 1 species
UUGCUCUGGGUGAGAGCGGCGGACGGGUGAGUAAUGUCUGGGAAACUGCCUGAUGGAGGGGGAUAACUACUGGAAACGGUAGCUAAUACCGCAUAACGUCGCAAGACCAAAGAGGGGGACCUUCGGGCCUCUUGCCAUCAGAUGUGCCCAGAUGGGAUUAGCUAGUAGGUGGGGUAAUGGCUCACCUAGGCGACGAUCCCUAGCUGGUCUGAGAGGAUGACCAGCCACACUGGAACUGAGACACGGUCCAGACUCCUACGGGAGGCAGCAGUGGGGAAUAUUGCACAAUGGGCGCAAGCCUGAUGCAGCCAUGCCGCGUGUAUGAAGAAGGCCUUCGGGUUGUAAAGUACUUUCAGCGAGGAGGAAGGCAUUGUGGUUAAUAACCGCAGUGAUUGACGUUACUCGCAGAAGAAGCACCGGCUAACUCCGUGCCAGCAGCCGCGGUAAUACGGAGGGUGCAAGCGUUAAUCGGAAUUACUGGGCGUAAAGCGCACGCAGGCGGUCUGUCAAGUCGGAUGUGAAAUCCCCGGGCUCAACCUGGGAACUGCAUUCGAAACUGGCAGGCUAGAGUCUUGUAGAGGGGGGUAGA